UUGCCCGGGGGGGGGGGGCGCAGCUAAACCAAGGAUGAGAGGGGCGGGGCCUCCAGAGCUUCCAGAAUCUUGUGAGCCCUGAGCCUCCCUGCUUCCUCCAGGAAGGAAUGUUAACAUGCCGGAUCUCCUGAUCUCCUGAGAGGGAUCACAAGUACCCUGGUGGAAGAUGGCUCUGGUCAUGGCCAGCCUAGAAGAAACUGCAUGGCAAAGCCUAGUGUGCAUUUUAAAGUAAGUGACUUCAAGAAGUGUUCUCUCUCCCCUGUCACAAGCUCCUGGGAUAGAGUCAGACACCCAACAGACGUUCUGCCUUUCUUGGGCCCCAAACUCAGUCUCGGUUGGCAAUUGGAAUCAGAAACCAGCCUUCUCCUCUGGGGCAAGUGCCCAGCAAAUAAAAACACUAAGCAGUCUAUAUUAACUUGCUAGAUUGCAAACAACAUCAUAACAAGCAGAGGAAAAAAAUCUAAAAUGAGCUAGUAAUUAUACCACUUUGUUCUUUGUGCCUAAUUAUCUCAAGAAAUUACUGAACUCUUGAAAAGACACACUGUAGAGAGUAAAAACUGUAAAUCUUGAAAGAAAAAGAGAAAAUGGUGUGUUUAGAAGGUGUCACUGGCUCAAAGCUAAUGCAGAUACAGACUUUAAGUUCCUGUCAUCUCAACAGUUUCAAGCCACAACAAGAGCAACAGAGAGUUAUAACUUAGAACUAAACAUCUUGCUUCGUCUCUGUCUCCAACACUGCUCUGAAGCAGAAUUCCUUCCCAGGAUCUCAGCCUCUCUACCUCCUUCUACAGUUCAUAUUCAAGCUCAAGAUGUCACGGGAAAAACAACUGAUACCCCUGCAAUGCUUCAGGAAGGUGAGGUAGCUUUUGGUGGUUUUUAUCACAGCGAUGGAAGCACUAAGGCAGCUACAUCCCAGCUGACUCCUCUGGAGAUCCCACCUUGCCAGCUCCCUCUCUUCUUGCCCUGGAAAACACACCUGCUGCUUCCCAGCCUCAGGUACACUAUUACACAUUCCGUCACGGCUGUAGCAUUGUCUGCAAGUGUCUGUGUGCCUUUGCUAGGGAUACCUGUGCCUUUGUCCCCAGCUACCAUUUGACUUCCUUCUAAAUACCGCUUAUCACAGGCAGACAUUUCGACACUUCUCACAUGUCUCGGGGGCUUCAUUCAUGAGCUACUGCAUCAUUACAGAUGGACAGAGCUCUGCUUUUGUAAGGAUCUGCUUCCCACUGCGCAGGAGCACAGGAAGUGGCUAGUCAUUUUCUACAUGAAGUCUUCAGAUUUAUAUUUCUUCAAUUUCCUAAAACUUACUACUUUUAUCUAAACAAGUGUCCGCUCUCUCUC
rnacentral:lncRNA from 1 species